rnacentral:lncRNA from 1 species
GAUUAUAAAGAAUUUACAAUUAAACGUUAACAAUCAUAAUUAAAUAUUAAACAAGCUCAAUUAAAUUUUAUUGAAGUUAUAAAAGAAAGACAAGGAAAUCCUAAAGAAAUAUAAAAGAAUAUUAAAGAAAACUUAGUCAAACUCUAACAAAAAUCUAAUAGAACUUUAAAUUCUAACCAAAUCCUAAUCUUAAUCCAACCUUAAUCAAAUCCUAGAUAAACCUUAAAUCCUAAAUCAAACCCUAAUCAAAUCUUAAUUCCUAACCAAAUUCUAAUCCAAAUCCUAAACCCUAAAUCCUAAAUCGAAUCCUAUCAAAAUCCUAAAUCCUAAAUCAAACCCUAAUCCAAAUUCUAAACCCUAAACCAAAUCCUAAUAAUUCCUAUAAUAGAUUUAAACCUCAAUAACUAAUAAAUAAACCGUUGAUCUUAACUCAAAUUUUGCAUACUUCUAAAAAAAUAAGUUAAAAACAAGCACAAAAAAAUUGAUAAGGAUCGGAGUUACCAAAUUGACGAUAACCUCAAAAAUAUGCUCGGAUAUUGGCGGGCCUCCUUCUCCAAUCUUGAUGCCAAUCUUCUAGAGCCAAUAUCUCUCUUUUGCAC